rnacentral:lncRNA from 1 species
CUCUGUCCCAGCUGAAAUGUCCUGCUUUCCUUUUUGGGUUGUCCCACUUGAAAUGUCCUGUUUCCUUUUUUGGCAAACACUCUCUCUCUAUACUUAAUAUUUAAAUAAUUUCCACCAACCCACUUUAUCUACUUUAUACACAUUUCUUAAUCUCCGUGCCGAAAAGAAACAAGACAUUUAAGCUGGGACGGAGGGAGUA